CCACUAGUUAAAAACUUAAAACUUUUAUGUUCUGAAAUUUGAACGUGGCAAAUUCCCCAAAUUUCCCACUAAUUAGCGGCAGUAUUUUUUCAAAAGGCAAAGAUAGUAAGAGAGGGAAAUUUUCAUUCUCCUGCCCUAGCCUCACCUACGAAGAGAACGAGAAGAAGAAAAAUUGCUCGAAUUUCCUUCCCAACCCAAUGUCUAUAAUUCCCCUCAAAAUUGAUUUCGAUUUGUUGGUGAUUGGGAAAAUCAAAGACGACCUUGGACCUUGACAUCGACAACGAAGAGGAGUCGAUGUUGAUUCAGCCCGACGCCUUUAUCGUUCUUGGCAGCCGGCCCGUCCACCAAAUCUCUUUGGGAAUAUCUGCAUCUGCACCAGUUGGUUUUCAAGUGAUGUGAAGCUUCUUUGUUACUCAUUUCAAUACAUGGAGAUUGUGAUGGAAAUGCACAGGAAGUAUAAGUUCGUGCAACUGGAUUUUUGGUAUUCUUGCUGGCUAGCUUCCUGGGGAUUGGAGCUUCUUUGUGCCAUACAUAGUGGGGAGCAUCUCUUUUUGGUAUUUCUUGCAAUAUGGAAUCUCCUGAAGUAAUGAACAUGCAUUUUGCUGAAGUCUUUGAUGGGAGAUCAUAUAUGAGGGUGAUUUUUAUUUGAAACAAUAUACUUUAUUUGUGUUUACAACUUUAUAUGCUUUCGUCACCUUAACUGAGUAUACUAACAAAUCUUCUUGCAUAUACAUUUAGAGGAUAUCCAGUAAAUCUAUUGAUCCGUUGCGAAGGAGAAGACAAUGUAAAGUGGGGCUUUAUUAAUGCCCUAAAAGAGGUUAAGUAUAAGUUUCAGUACACUUUUCGUUAUAAAUUCUUUGAGUUCAGAUUUGUGAGCUACAUGAAUUUGUUUAAUACUUUCCACUAAAAGAGAUUUGCAUUUUGCAGAGGACAUCAGAGAAGCAGCUAUUCCACACAACUCAUUUUUCUACUAAGUGUUGAGUUCAUGUGUUGGGUAUAUUCAACAAUGUUUGCUAUAAAUUCUGAGUUCAGAGAUUUGUGCCUACAUGGAUCUAUUUGAUUCUUUUUAAUAAUAGAGAUUUUCAUUUUGCAGAUACUUUUCGACAAGAAAGAUUUGGAUCUUGCAGAACACAGUAGAGAUUUGGAAGAAUAACACAGUUUUAUCUUGCAAAAGACAGUAGAGAUUUGGAAGAAUAACACGGUAGCAUGAGAAUUAUAUCUUGGUUUUAGUUUUAGCUAUCUCAUUAGAUGGUUGUUAUGUUAGUGCUACUUCAAGAGCUCAUAAGAUUCUAUAGAUUUUUUAAUUAUUUUUCGAUUACUUUUUUAUCGAUACUACUUUGUAAUUUUUUCAAAUUUGAAAUAAAUAGAAAAUAUUUCAUUUCA